rnacentral:rRNA from 1 species
CUGGCUCAGAUUGAACGCUGGCGGCAUGCUUUACACAUGCAAGUCGAACGGCAGCGGGGGCUUCGGCCUGCCGGCGAGUGGCGAACGGGUGAGUAAUGCAUCGGAACGUGCCCAUGUCGUGGGGGAUAACGUAGCGAAAGCUACGCUAAUACCGCAUACGCCCUGAGGGGGAAAGCGGGGGAUUCUUCGGAACCUCGCGCGAUUGGAGCGGCCGAUGUCGGAUUAGCUAGUAGGUGAGGUAAAGGCUCACCUAGGCGACGAUCCGUAGCGGGUCUGAGAGGAUGAUCAGCCACACUGGAACUGAGACACGGUCCAGACUCCUACGGGAGGCAGCAGUAAGGAAUAUUGCUCAAUGGGGGAAACCCUGAAGCAGCAACGCCGCGUGAAGGAUGAAAUACUUUUGUAUGUAAACUUCUGUAAGAUGGGAAAAAUAUUCUCCUCGGGAGAAUUGAUUGUACCAUCAGAGUAAGCCCCGGCUAACUACGUGCCAGCAGCCGCGGUAAUACGUAGGGGGC